rnacentral:rRNA from 1 species
UACGUAGGUGGCAAGCGUUGUCCGGAUUCAUUGGGCGUAAAGGGUGUGUAGGUGGCGCCGUAAGUCGGGUGUGAAAUUUCGGAGCUUAACUCCGAAACUGCAUUCGAUACUGCGGUGCUUGAGGACUGGAGAGGAGACUGGAAUUCAUGGUGUAGCAGUGAAAUGCGUAGAGAUCAUGAGGAAGACCAGUGGCGAAGGCGGGUCUCUGGACAGUUCCUGACACUGAGACACGAAGGCCAGGGGAGCAAACGGG